AAUGGGUAUUUCUAUCCAAAUUUUACUCAUCUUCUUCUGUUUUUACUUUUACAGUGUAAGAGACACGUCAAAGUGAGAUUUGAAAAUUAACGGUUUGAAAUAUCUGUAGUGGUUAUCCACAUAAUUUCCUUAUUAAAAGUGUUGUUGAUAAGUUUUAGCUCAUGUUCACUUAGUAUCAGUAACAAGACUUUUCAGGUAAAAUGGAAGAUUAUAUUGAAAUACCUACAAAUCAAGGAAGACUGAGAGGCUUGAUCUUGGAAUCAGAAGGGAUUUCCAAAACAACUUAUUAUUCUUUUCAAGGAAUUCCUUAUGCAAAACCUCCAAUUGGUGAUUUAAGAUUUAAGGAUCCUCAGCCUUUUGGUAAAUGGAAUGGAGUUCAUGAUGCCACAAUGGAAGGAAAUGAUUCACUUCAUAAACAUAUUGUUUUUAAGAAUCUCCUAGGUGAUGAAGAUUGCCUGUAUCUCAAUGUAUACACAACAGAGGUUAGUUUUAUAAAUUCUG